rnacentral:rRNA from 1 species
CAGCCGCCACGGGAAAACGUAGGGUGCAAGCGUUAAUCGGAAUUACUGGGCGUAGAGCGUGCGCAGGCGGUUCGCUAAGACAGAUGUGAAAUCCCCGGGCUUAACCUGGGAACUGCAUUUGUGACUGGCGGGCUAGAGUAUGGCAGAGGGGGGUAGAAUUCCACGUGUAGCAGUGAAAUGCGUAGAGAUGUGGAGGAAUACCGAUGGCGGAGGCAGCCCCCUGGGCCAAUACUGACGCUCAUGCACGAAAGCGUGGGGAGCAAACAGGAUUAGAUACCCCAGUAGUCCCUGUCUCUUAUAC